GAUGAACGCUGGCGGCGUGCUUAACACAUGCAAGUCGAACGAAACACCUUAUUUGAUUUUCUUCGGAACUGAAGAUUUGGUGAUUGAGUGGCGGACGGGUGAGUAACGCGUGGGUAACCUACCCUGUACAGGGGGAUAACAGUCAGAAAUGACUGCUAAUACCGCAUAAGACCACAGCACCGCAUGGUGCAGGGGUAAAAACUCUGGUGGUACAGGAUGGACCCGCGUCUGAUUAGCUGGUUGGUGAGGUAACGGCUCACCAAGGCGACGAUCAGUAGCCGGCUUGAGAGAGUGAACGGCCACAUUGGGACUGAGACACGGCCCAAACUCCUACGGGAGGCAGCAGUGGGGAAUAUUGCACAAUGGGGGAAACCCUGAUGCAGCGACGCCGCGUGAGUGAAGAAGUAUCUCGGUAUGUAAAGCUCUAUCAGCAGGGAAGAAAAUGACG
rnacentral:rRNA from 1 species